AGAGUUUGAUCCUGGCUCAGAACGAACGCUGGCGGCGUGCCUAACACAUGCAAGUCGAGCGCGAAAGUCCCUUCGGGGGCGAGUAGAGCGGCGGACGGGUGAGUAAUACAUGGAUAAUCUCCCUUCGAGCUCGGGAUAACACUGCGAAAGCGGUGCUAAUACCGGAUAAGACCACGUCACCCAGGUGAUGCGGUAAAAGAUGGCUUUGUUUUCGGAUGAGGCUAUCACUUGAGGAUGAGUCCAUGGCCUAUCAGCUUGUUGGUGAGGUAAAGGCUCACCAAGGCGAUGACGGGUAGCUGGUCUGAGAGGACGACCAGCCACACUGGGACUGAGACACGGCCCAGACUCCUACGGGAGGCAGCAGUGGGGAAUAUUGGGCAAUGGGCGAAAGCCUGACCCAGCGACGCCGUGUGGGCGAUGAAGGCCUUCGGGUUGUAAAGCCCUGUUGGGUGGAAAGAAGGGCUCUAGGACGAAUAAUCCCUGAGUCUUGACGGUACCACCAGAGGAAGCACCGGCUAACUCCGUGCCAGCAGCCGCGGUAAUACGGAGGGUGCAAGCGUUGUUCGGAAUUACUGGGCGUAAAGGGCGCGUAGGUGGUUGUGUAAGUCAGAUGUGAAAUCCCGAGGCUCAACCUCGGAACUGCAUCUGAUACUGCAUGACUAGAGUGCAGCAGAGGGAAACGGAAUUCCCAGUGUAGAGGUGAAAUUCGUAGAUAUUGGGAGGAACACCGGUGGCGAAGGCGGUUUCCUGGGCUGACACUGACACUGAGGCGCGAAAGCGUGGGUAGCAAACAGGAUUAGAUACCCUGGUAGUCCACGCUGUAAACGGUGA
rnacentral:rRNA from 1 species